GGACUACACGGGUAUCUAAUCCUGUUUGAUCCCCACGCUUUCGUGCCUCAGUGUCAAUCAAACCAUAGUAAGCUGCCUUCGCAAUUGGUGUUCUGUGACAUAUCUAUGCAUUUCACCGCUACUUGUCACAUUCCGCCUACCUCUAGUUCAUUCAAGCUCUUCAGUAUCAAAGGCACUGCGAUAGUUAAGCUACCGUCUUUCACCCCUGACUUAAAAAGCCACCUACGCACCCUUUAAACCCAAUAAAUCCGGAUAACGCUCGGAUCCUCCGUAUUACCGCGGCGGCUGGCAC
rnacentral:rRNA from 1 species